UUGCUCCAAAAAAGCUCCAAAACGGCACCAAAAAGUGUCCACAAGUGAUUCCAGCCAAAUCGAAAAGCGGAUUCGGAAUCGAGGCGAACAGCAAAAUUCCCGGGAAUCCUAAUCUAUGAAUAUUG
rnacentral:sRNA from 1 species